GUGGGGAAUAUUGGACAAUGGGGGGAACCCUGAUCCAGCCAUGCCGCGUGUGUGAAGAAGGCCUUUUGGUUGUAAAGCACUUUAAGCGAGGAGGAGGCUACCGAGAUUAAUACUCUUGGAUAGUGGACGUUACUCGCAGAAUAAGCACCGGCUAACUCUGUGCCAGCAGCCGCGGUAAUACAGAGGGUGCAAGCGUUAAUCGGAUUUACUGGGCGUAAACCGCGCGUAGGUGGCCAAUUAAGUCAAAUGUGAAAUCCCCGAGCUUAACGUGGGAAUUGCAUUCGAUACUGGUUGGCUAGAGUAUGGGAGAGGAUGGUAGAAUUCCAGGUGUAGCGGUGAAAUGCGUAGAGAUCUGGAGGAAUACCGAUGGCGAAGGCAGCCAUCUGGCCUAAUACUGACACUGAGGUGCGAAAGCAUGGGGAGCAAACAGGAUUAGAUACCCUUGUAGUCC
rnacentral:rRNA from 1 species